UACGUAGGGUGCGAGCGUUGCCCGGAUUUAUUGGGCGUAAAGGGCGCGUAGGCGGCGUGACAAGUCACUUGUGAAAUCUCCGGGCUUAACUCGGAACGGUCAAGUGAUACUGUCGGACUAGAGUACAGAAGGGGGCAACUGGAAUUCUCGGUGUAGCGGUGAAAUGCGUAGAUAUCGAGAGGAACACCUGCGGCGAAGGCGGGUUGCUGGGCUGAUACUGACGCUGAGGCGCGAAAGCCAGGGGAGCGAACGGG
rnacentral:rRNA from 1 species